rnacentral:snRNA from 1 species
GUGCUCACUUCGGCGGCACAUAUACUAGAAUUGGAGUGAUACAGAGAACAUUAGCAUGGCCCCUGUGCAAAGAUGACAUGCAGAUUCGUGAAGCAUUCCAUAUUAAA